UCGGAUACAGCUAUGAAAAAAACUAUUGAAACACUUCUAAAUAUCUGUGAAUCUAUUCUGCGUUGUGCUUUUAGAUUCUUCUUUUAACAGAAAUCAGGACAGAGGUGGCCAAAAUUUAGUUUAAUAGCUACUGUGGAGCUUUAAGUCCCAUGAUGCUUUGCCAUCCUUAAUGCCAGCAAACCAUCACGGAAGCACCCUGGAGCUA